GAAAGAGCGGGUGGGGGAGGGGGACUGCGCGUCACUCACUGUUCUGCCCCCCUCCCCCGCACAG
rnacentral:miRNA from 1 species